AGACAUCCAACAGGUGUGACAUGAGAACACAUGAUAUACUUAGAUAUUUUCACGUGUUCUCAGGUCGCCCCUGCUGAAUUUUC
rnacentral:pre_miRNA from 1 species